rnacentral:rRNA from 1 species
CAAUAGCGUAUAUUAAAGUUGUUGCGGUUAAAAAGCUCGUAGUUGGAUUUCUGCUGAGGACGAUCGGUCCGCCCUCUGGGUGAGUAUCUGGCUCGGCCUUGGCAUCUUCUUGGAGAACGUUACUGCACUUGACUGUGUGGUGCGGUAUCCAGGACUUUUACUUUGAGGAAAUUAGAGUGUUUCAAGCAGGCGCACGCCUUGAAUACAUUAGCAUGGAAUAAUAAGAUAGGACCUUGGUUCUAUUUUGUUGGUUUCUAGAGCUGAGGUAAUGAUUAAUAGGGAUAGUUGGGGGCAUUCGUAUUUAACUGUCAGAGGUGGAAUUCUUGGAUUUGUUAAAGACGGACUACUGCGAAAGCAUUUGCCAAGGAUGUUUUCAUUGA